AUUGGAAAAAGUAUUUGAAAAAUGAGGUGGGGUGGUUUCCAAAUUGACCUGCCCAGCAUGGAAAAGGUUCAUAUUUCUAAAACUUAUACAAGCACUAGCAACAACUCUAUAUCUGGAUCAUUGAAGCGCUUGGAAGAUACUACUGCACGAUUUACAAAUGCAAAUUUCCAGGAAGUCUCUGCACACACCUCUAGUGGAAAAGAUGUUUCAGAGACUAGAGGGUCAGAGGGCAAAGGGAAGAAAUCUUCAGCUCACAGCUCAGGUCAAAGGGGAAGAAAGCCUGGUGGUGGAAGAAAUCCAGGAACAACUGUGUCAGCAGCUAGCCCUUUUCCUCAAGGUAUUAGUGAUGUUUUAGUUAAAAUACUUGUUUUUAAGAUGGUUAAUAAUAGUUAUGCUUUGUAAAAUAAUUGGUUUUUUUUUGAACUUAUAACUAAUGGAUGUUCUAGAUUAUUAUAUGAUUAAUUGCUGUAGUAAGAUUACUUUAAAGAUAGUGUUUCCUAUUAAAUUUUUUUAAUAGUGACUUUUUCUUUCCUUUUAUAAUAUGAUUUGUGCUUCCAGAGUUGAAUUGUAAUUUUAAUGUUUAACUAGAUAUGGAAUAAUGCUUAAAAUUGGGGAGAAAAAUAAUAAAAGAUGGAGCUUUGCUUUGA
rnacentral:sRNA from 1 species